rnacentral:lncRNA from 1 species
GUGUCGCUUCUCUUCUUUCCACAAUAAAUUAAUCAACACGCCUCUGUGUCCUAUAGGUACAGUGCAUAGUCGCAUUUGUCAUCCAUUCAUAUGAUUAUUCAGAUUGAGUUAUUUUGGGAGAAAAACGAGAAAAAAAGGCAUCCGGAUAUUGUCCCGUCAUUGGACGAAAUUUUAAGUCUGAUUAGACUUCCGGUUUGCGUUUUUCUGUAUACUGUAUUUUAAGAAUUCUAUCUGCUAUCAUUUUCAAGCUUACUAUCCACGGCGGUCACAUAAUUUAUUAAAUAGAGAGGGUCUGUUUACUAUAUGAAUGACCACCAUGGAUCGAUUAGUAAACUUAAAAUUGAAAGUAAAUACACUAUAUUUAUAUAGUAAUGAAUGUUCAUAAUGACCACCAUGGAUCGAUUAGUAAACUUAAAAUUGAAAGUAAAUACACUAUAUUUAUAUAGUAAUGAAUGUUCAUAAUAUACAGAUUUAUAUAAGCGUUAAAAUUAUUCAUUGAACUUUUGAUACCUUUUCUGAAAUUCUCCAGUUAUUAAAUCUUUUACAAGAAGAUGUGGUAUGAUAGCCAUGUUGAGACAACUCUCCACAAGAGACCAAAAUGAUACAGAAAUUAACAACUAUAGUUCACCGUACGACCUUCAACAAUGAGCAAAUCCCAUACCGCAUAAUCAGCUUUAAAAGGCCCUGAACUGACAAGGUAACACAAUCCAAACCAGAAAACUAGCGGCCUUAUUGAUGUACAAAAAAUUGAACGAAAUACAAAUAUGUAACACAUAAACAAACGACAACCACUGAAUUACAGGCUCCUUACUUAAAUGUUCAUAACAUACUCAAUGUAUUAUGUUCAUAUUGAAAUUGAUAGAAAACCAAAAAUUGGGAAUUUUGGAAAUAAAGGAGGAGGGAUAUAAAAAAAAACAUUUUCCUGCCCCCCACAUCCCCAAUAACCUAUGACUUAUGAUACUUUUGCUGAAAUUCCCCACUAAAUGUAUUAUGUUCAUAUUGAAAUUGAUAGAAAACCAAAAUUGGGAAUUUUAGAAAUAAAGGAGGAGGGAUAAAAAAAAAAACACAUUUUCCUGUUCCCAAUAACCUUUGACUUAUGAUAAUUUUGCUGAAAUUCUCCAGUCAUUCAAUAUUUUACAUAAUUCUUCCAACAACACUUUACAUACUAUAAAC